AGUUAUAUUUGUGCCACAAUCCUGAGCGCACAGUGUGAAAUUUUGAGCACAGAAAACAAUUUUGAGCAAAGAAAAACUUAAUCUGAGCAAACAAAAAUCUAUUCUGCACUCAAAAAAUAUAUUUUUAUAUUUGCAACUAUCCACAUACACACACAGUCUCCAUGUUUUUCACUCGGUUUUUCACUCUGCUCUCCUGUGGAUCUCUGCUCUACGUCCUCGCUACGUCUCUCUCGCUCUCGCUCAACAUCUGCUCUCUGCACACGCUCAAAUCUGCCUUCACGCUCGCUCAACUCUGCACGGCGUUACAAAUGUGCCACAAUUCCAGCCAAUCACAGACUUCUAAUACUAUCCAAUCGGGUCCCUGUUUCGGCCGCCUCUCGGAAGCGCUGUUAAAAACGAUCGCUAAAUCAACUGGAGUUCUGCUAUAUACGCUGGACUACGACAGAUUUUCGAAAGUCAGUCCUGCUUCCGCAACAAAACGAGGGAUUUAGCAGAUGUGCUAGCUAAACAGCAUGACAGAUCCAAAUAAUGACAACCCAAAUACUCCGCCACCAUGUCAGAGCUUUUCCAGGAUACUUCAGAUCAAACUUUAGUCGAGGUAAAAAGAGGUGUUUAACUUCCACCAAGCAGCCUCCUAGAACAACCAGCAAGACCAUCACUCUCAAUUUUUAUCUGCUUCCAAAAAACACACCCUUCACACCUUUGCCAGAUGAGGAGCUUGAACUCCUUCAAGCUGGCAUGGGAAGACAAACGGUGUCGCUGCCUGACCACA